UACGUAGGUGACAAGCGUUGUCCGGAUUUACUGGGCGUAAAGAGCGCGCAGGCGGUCGUUCAAGUCGAGUGUGAAAGCCCCCGGCUCAACUGGGGAGGGUCACUCGAUACUGAUCGACUUGAAGGCAGGAGAGGGAAGCGGAAUUCCCGGUGUAGUGGUGAAAUGCGUAGAUAUCGGGAGGAACACCAGUGGCGAAGGCGAUCUUCUGGACGGAUACUGACGCUGGGGCGCGAAAGCGUGGGGAGCGAACAGG
rnacentral:rRNA from 1 species